rnacentral:sRNA from 1 species
AACUAACGCUAUUAUUGAUACAGUUUCUGUACUAUUUGGUACGCGAAGCUUCCACCGCCUCUGGCGGUUAUGUUUGGUCAAUUUCUUUUGACGGGGU